rnacentral:lncRNA from 1 species
UGUACCCGGCGCCGCGCCCCUAGAUCUGCAUCGGAAUGUAGAAAAGAUCUUUUUGAAAAAAGUUUUGAAUUCCUCAAUGAUUUUUCUUCUGGAAAGGCAGCUUAGGAUAAUUAUUUCAGCUUUAUUGAGGGCAGAUUAGUUGAAGUCUGGGCGCUGUGUUUCAAUACGCGUUGUACAUGGGCCGACAAUGUGG